rfam:Picea glauca, whole genome shotgun sequence.
ACAUGCCUACAACAUAUCAUUAAUGCACUAGAUCCCAUUAGAACUCGACAAUUACACGCGCUCAGGCUAGAGUAGUAUUGGGAUGGGUGACCUCCCGGGAAGUCCUAGUAUUUUACAUGCC